rnacentral:rRNA from 1 species
GCACAAGCAGUGGAGUAUGUGGUUUAAUUCGACGCAACGCGAAGAACCUUACCAAGUCUUGACAUCCUGCGACGCACAUAGAAAUAUGUGUUUCCUUCGGGACGCAGAGACAGGUGGCGCAUGGUUGUCGUCAGCUCGUGUCGUGAGAUGUUGGGUUAAGUCCCGCAACGAGCGCAACCCUUAUGGUCAGUUACUACGCAAGAGGACUCUGGCCAGACUGCCGUUGAUAAAA